UGGGGAAUAUUGCACAAUGGGCGCAAGCCUGAUGCAGCCAUGCCGCGUGUGUGAAGAAGGCCUUCGGGUUGUAAAGCACUUUCAGCGGGGAGGAAGGCGACAAGGUUAAUAACCUUGUCGAUUGACGUUACCCGCAGAAGAAGCACCGGCUAACUCCGUGCCAGCAGCCGCGGUAAUACGGAGGGUGCAAGCGUUAAUCGGAAUUACUGGGCGUAAAGCGCACGCAGGCGGUCUGUCAAGUCGGAUGUGAAAUCCCCGGGCUUAACCUGGGAACUGCAUUCGAAACUGGCAGGCUAGAGUCUUGUAGAGGGGGGUAGAAUUCCAGGUGUAGCGGUGAAAUGCGUAGAGAUCUGGAGGAAUACCGGUGGCGAAGGCGGCCCCCUGGACAAAGACUGACGCUCAGGUGCGAAAGCGUGGGGAGCAAACAGG
rnacentral:rRNA from 1 species